rnacentral:rRNA from 1 species
UACGUAGGGUGCAAGCGUUAAUCGGAAUUACUGGGCGUAAAGCGUGCGCAGGCGGUUGUGUAAGACAGAUGUGAAAUCCCCGGGCUCAACCUGGGAACUGCAUUUGUGACUGCACAGCUGGAGUGCGGCAGAGGGGGAUGGAAUUCCGCGUGUAGCAGUGAAAUGCGUAGAUAUGCGGAGGAACACCGAUGGCGAAGGCAAUCCCCUGGGCCUGUACUGACGCUCAUGCACGAAAGCGUGGGGGGCAAACAGG